rnacentral:rRNA from 1 species
AUUGAACGCUGGCGGCAGGCCUAACACAUGCAAGUCGAACGAGUGGCGGACGGGUGAGUAAUGUCUGGGAAACUGCCUGAUGGAGGGGUAUAACUACUGGAAACGGUAGCUAAUACCGCAUACCAUCGGAUGUGCCCCGAGGUGAGUAGCUAGUAGGUGGGGUAAAGGCUCACCAAGGCGACGAUCCAUAGCUGGUCUGAGAGGAUGACCAGCCACACUGGAACUGAGACACGGUCCAGACUCCUACGGGAGGCAGCAGUGGGGAAUAUUGCACAAUGGGCGCAAGCCUGAUACAGCCAGGCCGCGUGUAUGAAGAAGGCCUUCGGGUUGUAAAGUACUUUCAGCGGGGAGGCGUUACCCGCAGAAGAAGCACCGGCUAACUCCGUGCCAGCAGCCGCGGUAAUAC